GAUGAACGCUGGCGGCGUGCCUAAUACAUGCAAGUAGAACGCUGAAGGAAGGAGCUUGCUCUUUCCGGAUGAGUUGCGAACGGGUGAGUAACGCGUAGGUAACCUGCCUGGUAGCGGGGGAUAACUAUUGGAAACGAUAGCUAAUACCGCAUAACAGUAGAUGUUGCAUGAUAUCUACUUAAAAGGUGCAAUUGCACCACUACCAGAUGGACCUGCGUUGUAUUAGCUAGUUGGUGAGGUAACGGCUCACCAAGGCGACGAUACAUAGCCGACCUGAGAGGGUGAUCGGCCACACUGGGACUGGGACGCGGCCCAGACUCCUACGGGAGGCAGCAGUAGGGAAUCUUCGGCAAUGGACAGAAGUCUGACCGAGCAACGCCGCGUGGGUGAAGAAGGUUUUCGGAUCGUAAAGCUCUGUUGUAAGGGAAGAGAGAGUGUGGGAGUGGAAAGUUCACACUGUGACGGUAUCUUACCAGAAAGGGACGGCUAACUACGUG
rnacentral:rRNA from 1 species